GCUUCCAUGGCUCAGUUGGCAGAGCGGUCGGCUGUUAACCGAUAGGUCGCCGGUUCGAGCCCGGCUGGAAGCG
rnacentral:tRNA from 1 species